rnacentral:misc_RNA from 1 species
CAUUAUGAGUUGUGAUGGGGUUUGAUGCUGGCAGCCNACUUGUGCAUGCAUGUGCUUGCCCCUAACAAUUAUCUUCCAAACACUUGUGCACAUUUUUGAGGGAUAUUCGAGCUGAUCAUCACUUUUGGUGAUUUCCUUGCAUUCCCUUAAAUCGUUAUACACUGUUAACAAUACUGAACGUGCUUUGUGCCGCAAGGCCAUUAAUUAUAUAAUACAACUUUUAACAACGGAUCUCUUGGCUCUCGCAUCGAUGAAGGACGCAGCGAAAUGCGAUAAGUAAUGUGAAUUGCAGAAUUCACUGAAUCAUCNAAUCUUUGAACGCACCUUGCGCUCCCUGGUAUUCCGGGGAGCACGCCUGUUCGAGUGUC